rnacentral:tRNA from 1 species
GGUCAGGUAGCUCAGUUGGUUAGAGCUUUGUUCCUAUAUACCAAGGUUUCGGGUUCAAUCCCUGAUCAGGACA